AGCGAACGCUGGCGGCAGGCCUAACACAUGCAAGUCGAGCGCCGUAGCAAUACGGAGCGGCAGACGGGAGGGUAACACGUGGGAACGUACCCUUUGGUUCGGAACAACCCAGGGAAACUUGGGCUAACACCGGAUAAGCCCUCACGGGGAAAGAUUAAUCGCCGGAGGAUCGGCCCGCGUCUGAUUAGCUAGUUGGUGGGGUAAUGGCCCACCAAGGCGACGAUCAGUAGCUGGUCUGAGAGGAUGAUCAGCCUCACUGGGACUGAGACACGGGCCAGACUCCUACGGGAGGCAGCAGUGGGGAAUAUUGGACAAUGGGCGCAAGCCUGAUCCAGCCAUGCCGCGUGGGUGAUGAAGGCCCUAGGGUUGUAAAGCCCUUUCGGCGGGGAAGAUAAUGACGGUACCCGCAGAAGAAGCCCCGGCUAACUUCGUGCCAGCCGCCGCAGUAA
rnacentral:rRNA from 1 species